AACNAGGAUUCCCCUAGUAACUGCGAGUGAAGAGGGAAAAGCUCAAAUUUAAAAUCUGGCGGGCUCUGUCCGUCCGAGUUGUAAUCUGGAGAAGCGUUUUCCGCGUCGGACCGUGCAUAAGUCUCCUGGAACGGAGCGUCAUAGAGGGUGAGAAUCCCGUCCAUGGCACGGACCGCCGAUGCUUUGUGAUACGUUUUCAAAGAGUCGAGUUGUUUGGGAAUGCAGCUCAAAAUGGGUGGUAAAUUCCAUCUAAAGCUAAAUAUUGGCGAGAGACCGAUAGCGAACAAGUACCGUGAGGGAAAGAUGAAAAGCACUUUGGAAAGAGAGUUAAACAGUACGUGAAAUUGUUGAAAGGGAAACGCUUGAAGUCAGUCGCGUCCGACGGAACUCAGCCUUGCUUCGGCCUGGUGUACUUUCUGUCGGACGGGUCAACAUCAGUUUUGACCGGUGGAGAAAGGUAGGGGGAAUGUAGCGCUGUUUCGGCGGCGUGUUAUAGCCUCUUGCUGUAUGCAUCGGUUGGGACUGAGGACCGCAGCACGCCUUUUUGGCCGGGGGUUCGCCCCACGUACCGUGCUUAGGAUGUUGGCAAAGAACUGAAACUGAAAA
rnacentral:rRNA from 1 species